GCCUAAUUUGGCUCCUCCCAUCCAAUUUUGAUUAUUUUCCUUAAGGGACGUCUUGGACCAAGUAACUGCUGCAGCGUGGGAUUCUCCCUCGGCUUAAAGGGAGUUAGCGCAACCUUGAUUUUGGGGUAGAGGACGAGGCAAGGGCAAAGGCAAGCUGGCGAGCGACCCGAAGUGACCGUGGCGAG